rnacentral:tRNA from 1 species
ACCUUCUGAGUAUGACAUUUGUACACUUGCCUUCCAAGCAUAGAAGUCUAAGCUUAAUUAGAGAAGGUA